GCCGGGCGCGGUGAUGGGUGCCUGUAGUCCCAACUACUCGGGAGGCUGAGGUGGGAGGAUCGCUUGAGCCCAGGAGUUCUGGGCUGUAGUGCGCUAUGCCGAUCAGGUGUCCGUGCUAAGUUCGGCAUCAAUACAGUGACCUCCCGGGAGCGGGAGACCACCAGGUUGGCUAAGGAGGGGUGAACUGGCCCAGGUUGGAAACGGAGCAGGUCAAAACUCCGGGGCUGAUCAGUAGUGGGGAUAGCUACUGCACUCCAGCCUGGGGAACAUAGUGAGAUCCUGUCCCUU
ensembl:misc_RNA Metazoa_SRP Metazoan signal recognition particle RNA